AGUUACUCAAUUCAAGCGUUACAGUGCAAAAGGUGGUUAGACAGCCCUCCCUGUUAUUUAAGGGGUAAAUUAGGAAAAAAGAGGAUCGAUCCGGGAAGGGUAGGGGUGCAAUCCGGUUAACCCUCCUGAGGAAAGGGGUGAUUUCUUCUUUAGGCUGAGGCCACGGAACCGGGGAACCGAAGACAUGGAUUUGAGACCCAUUUAUUACCGACGCAAACUUUGCUUUAGGGCAGCUGCUUGGGGACUACGAGCGUGUGCUUAAAACUCAAAGAACUUGGCGGCAAGUUAACUACCUAGGGGAAUAUGCGUCUUAAUCCGAUGAUCCACGUGGAAUCUUACUGUACCUUGAAAAAGAGCAGCCGGUGUAUUGCCGUCGUCAGCUUGUUGUUCAAGCAAGGAGAAACAAGCUUAAUGGAGCUGGCGAUGUUAAUCGACAGGGUCCGUAAAGUCAGGUCGAAAUACUGCCUAUGGUACAAGGGAGCGGGUAUUACAAUUCAAAUUUCGAAAUACGGAGCUUGGAAGAAAUGUGAAACCUCCAGGUGAAGGUGGACUUAGGAGUAAGGGAAGAUUAAUAUGCUCCCCUGAACAUGAAACUAGCUUGUGUACAAACCGCCCGUCGCUCUCGCCGGAAGGUGAGAUAAGUCGUAACA
rnacentral:rRNA from 1 species